GCCCACGAUCACCGCCGCACCACACACCCAAAAAAACGCACGAAAUAAUAAUUGCGCAAGAGCAACGGAAACCCUCGAAACGGCAGAGCACGAGAGAACAAGAAAAAAGAGAGGAAAAACCCAAGAAAAUCCGCCUUGCCCACUCCGAUCUCUCCACCAUAUCCCACCCUGAGAAUUUCCCUCGGAUUUCUCUAGAUUCGCGAUCUGAGUUCGGAGGAUGCGCGGCGAUCCCCUCCCCCAUUCCCGCGCGCCCGGAUCACACGGAAGGCGUGGAGGAGACUGACUGACGGCACGCCGGCGAGGCGGUUCCAACCGAUCCGAUCUCGCGUCCGCAGGCACGGUUGCUCUGAUCUGGCAGGGGAAUGCGCGUGUCGACAUGGUAAGCCGAGGAGGAGGAGCCGUGCGGUCGUUGCUGGAUCGCCUGCGCCCGCCGCCGAGGGGGACGAGGGGGAGCCCCGCCAUGCCGCCGCCCGUCGCCGCCGCCGCCAAAGGCGCCUGCUUCUGCAGCUUUGGCCACUCGGGCGCGCACGGCGAGGGGCGGAGGAAGGGCGUCCUGGAUUUGGGGGCCGGCCGGAGGUUCGCGCCGGGCAGUGCGCUGAGCCUGAAGGGCUGCCUGGACUGGCAGGACGGCGGCAGGUUCAGGAGGGCGGAUGGCGGUGAUGGCGACGCGGUGGAGAUCAGGGCGCGGGUUCUCGCCCCGCACCGGCAGUUCGUCCGUGAUGUGGAGGUUCAGCUGUCGGAGGAGGUGGGCGCGAAGAGUGUGGAUGGGAAUGGCGCCUACCGGCGUGGGAAGCGCCUCGAUUUCCCUGAGCAGGCCGUGCCGACUAAGAUGGUGGUCGCGGUUGAUGUGGAUGAAGUUCUUGGAAGCUUUCUUGCUGCUCUGAACAGAUUUAUUGCCGAGCGGUACUCUUGGAAUCACUCAGUAUCAGAAUACCAUGUCUAUGAGUUCUUUAGGAUAUGGAAUUGUUCUCGAGAAAAAGCUAAUCUUCUUGUCCAUGAGUUCUUUACAACCCAUUACUUUCAAGAUGGUGUCCAUCCUAUCCCAGGCGCUCGAGAUGCUCUCCAAAAUCUUUCUUCGUUCUGUAGCUUGUCUGUAGUAACAUCUCGCCAGGAUGUAAUAAAAAAUCACACAUUAGAGUGGAUCGAGAAGUUUUAUCCAGGCUUAUUUGAGCAGAUCCAUUUUGGGAACCAUUUUGCUUUGGAAGGCCAAUCAAGGCCAAAAUCAGAGAUUUGCAGAUCUUUUGGUGCUCAGGUUUUAAUAGAUGAUAACCCGAGAUACGCUUUAGAAUGCGCUGAGGAUGGCAUGAGGGUUCUGCUCUUCGAUUAUGAUAACACGUAUCCCUGGUGCAAAACUGGUGUGGAUCAAUCACAUCCGCUGGUGACCAAGGUUCAUAACUGGCAGGAGGUUGAGCAAAAACUUCUCUCGUGGGUAGCACCGGAGAGCUGACAUUCUUCUUUGUCCGAUGUGAUAGCAGCAGAAUUAUGCUCAGCAGACAAGAUCUCACUUUCUGAAGAAAGAUGUUGCUUCCCUUUCAACAUCUCAAUACAUAAACAUGUCAAGGGUAAAGUAGAAUACUCCAUAUCUUUGUUUGAGAGAAUGACGAUUGAACAUCGCCUCACUGCAGUAUGCUGGGUGGAAGGCAAUCAGAUUCAGUCUAGUAUGCCCUGAGAUGAUCCAAGAUCUGCACUCACAGUCACACGCUGAAGAUCAAAUUCUUUUUCAGCAUGUUAGCUUCUGUGGUACUGUGGUGUAUAUACUGCCACUGCUAUAUGCAUUUGUUGAAUCAAAUACUUCAUAUCAAUUGAUCUGGUGCACACGAUCUUAUGAAUUGGAUCCUAUGUCCAGAGUCCUGAGUCCUGACAUGUGGUUACCGUUGCGUGUUAAGUGUACCCAAAUGGUUAAUCCGUUCGAUUUGGUGAAUACACUGUAAAACACAAGCGGAUUUGAAUUUGGAAGGGAGUGAUGAGGUAGAAAAAAGGAGCAUUGUACUCCAUGUACCGUGCCCACAAUGUGAAUAUGAAUUUUUGUAUGACAAAUACGUUUUCGAAUACCUCUGUUCUUACAAAUCUCAAAGCACGGUACGGAUGCAGGUUGCACCUGUGGCUGGAAGCAAGAAGCAUUUUUUCGGGUGGAGACCUAUGACAUGCCAAAACUGCUAUGCCAGAAUACUUGCAAGAAUACAAACCAUGCACUCACCAUAUGCACUUGAGAUAUCAGCAGCAUCCUCACCAAGCUGGGGAAAUAAGGACAACGGGGUCAUGUGAGUCCUGGAGUCGCUCAUAAUUUUUCUACUUAGUUGGACUAGGAUCCUUUCGGGCUUUUGCUCCAUCCUAGUCUUGAAC
rnacentral:rRNA from 1 species